GACGAACGCUGGCGGCGUGCUUAACACAUGCAAGUCGAGCGGUAAGGCCCUUUCGGGGGUACACGAGCGGCGAACGGGUGAGUAACACGUGGGUGACCUGCCCUCAGCUCUGGGAUAAGCCUGGGAAACCGGGUCUAAUACUGGAUAUGACUCCAUGACGCAUGUUGUGGGGUGGAAAGCCUUGUGCGGCUGAGGAUGGGCCCGCGGCCUAUCAGCUUGUUGGUGGGGUGANGGCCUACCAAGGCGACGACGGGUAGCCGGCCUGAGAGGGCGACCGGCCACACUGGGGCUGAGACACGGCCCAGACUCCUACGGGAGGCAGCAGUGGGGAAUCUUGCGCAAUGGGCGAAAGCCUGACGCAGCGACGCCGCGUGAGGGAUGACGGCCU
rnacentral:rRNA from 1 species